ACUCUUACGGGAGGCAGCAGUGGGGAAUUUUGGCCAAUGGGGGAAACCCUGACCCAGCAACGCCGCUUAAGGGAUGAAGUACCUCGGUAUGGUAAACUCCAUCGACCGGGACGAUAAUG
rnacentral:rRNA from 1 species